rnacentral:rRNA from 1 species
GACGAACGCUGGCGGCGUGCCUAAUACAUGCAAGUCGAGCGAACCACUUCGGUGGUGAGCGGCGAACGGGUGAGUAACACGUAGGUGAUCUGCCCAUCAGACGGGGACAACGAUUGGAAACGAUCGCUAAUACCGGAUAGGACGAAAGUUUAAAGGUGCUUCUGGCACCGCUGAUGGAUGAGCCUGCGGCGCAUUAGCUAGUUGGUAGGGUAAAGGCCUACCAAGGCGACGAUGCGUAGCCGACCUGAGAGGGUGAACGGCCACACUGGGACUGAGACACGGCCCAGACUCCUACGGGAGGCAGCAGUAGGGAAUCUUCGGCAAUGGGCGAAAGCCUGACCGAGCAACGCCGCGUGAAUGAUGAAGGCCUUCGGUUGUAAAAUUCUGUUAUAAGGGAAGAACGACUUUAGUAGGAAAUGGCUAGAGUGUGACGGUACCUUAUGAGAAAGCCACGGCUAACUACGUG